rnacentral:rRNA from 1 species
UGGGGAAUAUUGGACAAUGGGCGCAAGCCUGAUCCAGCCAUGCCGCGUGAGUGAUGAAGGCCUUAGGGUUGUAAAGCUCUUUCAGUGGGGACGAUAAUGACGGUACCCACAGAAGAAGCCCCGGCUAACUUCGUGCCAGCAGCCGCUGUAAUACGAAGGGGGCUAGCGUUGUUCGGAUUUACUGGGCGUAAAGCGCACGUAGGCGGAUCGUUAAGUCGGGGGUGAAAUCCUGGAGCUCAACUCCAGAACUGCCUUCGAUACUGGCGAUCUUGAGUCCGGAAGAGGUGAGUGGAACUCCUAGUGUAGAGGUGGAAUUCGUAGAUAUUAGGAAGAACACCAGUGGCGAAGGCGGCUCACUGGUCCGGUACUGACGCUGAGGUGCGAAAGCGUGGGGAGCAAACA